UACGUAGGGGGCAAGCGUUGUCCGGAAUCAUUGGGCGUAAAGCGCGCGUAGGCGGCCUGGUAAGUCCGCUGUGAAAGUCAAAGGCUCAACCUUUGAAUGUCAGCGGAUACUGCCGGGCUAGAGUCCGGAAGAGGCGAGUGGAACUCCUGGUGUAGCGGUGGAAUGCGCAGAUAUCAGGAAGAACACCAACGGCGAAGGCAGCUCGCUGGGACGGAACUGACGCUAAGGCGCGAAAGCGUGGGGAGCGAACAGG
rnacentral:rRNA from 1 species